GCCCGAAUGGCGGAAUUGGUAGACGCGCUGGUCUUAGGAACCAGUGAGGCAACUCAUGGAGGUUCGAGUCCUCUUUCGGGUACAA
rnacentral:tRNA from 1 species